rnacentral:rRNA from 1 species
GACGAACGCUGGCGGCGUGCUUAACACAUGCAAGUCGAACGGUGAAGCGCCUUCCUUUUUGGUGGGUGUGGAUGAGUGGCGAACGGGUGAGUAACACGUGAGUAACCUGCCCCCUUCUUCUGGAUAACCGCAUGAAAGUGUGGCUAAUACGGGAUAUUCUGGGUCUGUCGCAUGAUGGGUCUGGGAAAGAUAUUGUUUCGGUGGGGGAUGGGCUCGCGGCCUAUCAGCUUGUUGGUGGGGUGAUGGCCUACCAAGGCGGUGACGGGUAGCCGGCCUGAGAGGGUGGACGGUCACACUGGGACUGAGACACGGCCCAGACUCCUACGGGAGGCAGCAGUGGGGAAUAUUGCACAAUGGGCGGAAGCCUGAUGCAGCGACGCCGCGUGAGGGAUGGAGGCCUUCGGGUUGUGAACAGCUUUCGCCAGUGAAGCAGGCCUGCCUUGUUUGUGGGUGGGUUGACGGUAGCUGGAUAAGAAGCGCCGGCUAACUACGUG